UGAUGUAGGCUAUGUUAGUGCGUGUUGCAGGGAGAACAGCAGAUGACAAUUGUAGUGCAAGUUGAUUGAUGUUUAGGAGGUGUUAUUUGAAAGCUGUCGGGUCUGUUUAUAUUGUCAACAUAUAACAAGAAGUGUGGGAGGAACAUUUUAUUAUAGAGGUUUGUAUUCAAAUAUAUCAUAUUCACAUCAAAGCUGCAUUAAUGGCUCUGCGAGGUGUUCAAAUUGUUGAGAUGGCCGGACUUGCACCUGUUCCAUUCUGUGGGAUGGUUUUGGCAGAUUUUGGUGCAACUGUAAUAAGAGUUUGUAAGAUUGAAGGAGAACUGGAUUUUGAUUGUUUAGCCAAUGGAAAAAAGUCAUUGGCACUUAAUGUGAAACAUCCAAAAGGUGUUGAAAUACUUCGCAGAAUAUGCAAGAAGUCAGAUGUGCUUAUAGAACCAUUCAGAAAGGGGGUUAUGGAGAAAUUGGGACUUGGACCUAAUAUUCUUCUUGAAGAUAAUCCACAGUUGGUAUAUGCUAGGUUAACAGGUUUUGGCCAAUAUGGGAAAUACUCAAAAAUGGCUGGUCAUGACAUAAAUUAUAUAGCAGUUUCUGGUCUGUUAUCACUUCUUGGUCGUAAGAAUGAGAAGCCAACUGCACCAAUCAAUCUGGCAGCUGAUUUUGGUGGGGGUGGUUUGCUGUGUGCUCUGGGAAUUAUGAUGGCAUUAUAUGAAAGAACAAAUUCAGGUUUCGGACAAGUAGUGGAUGCCAAUAUGGUAGAAGGAUCAGCAUAUCUUAGUAGUUGGAUAUUUCGUUCACAGAAACAUCCAUACUGGGGACAACCACGUGGGGAAAACAUGCUGGAUACUGGAUCACAUUUCUAUGACACGUAUGAAACAAAAGAUGGUAAAUACAUGGCAGUAGGAGCUUUGGAACCACAGUUUUACUCUAAACUGCUCCAUGGUUUGGGUUUCUCAGAUGAAGAGGUACCACAGAUGGAAAAUUCUGAAGCUCAUCGAGAGUUAUUCACAAAGAGGUUUCAAGAACGCACUCAGCAAGAAUGGUGUGAGGUAUUUGAUGGAACUGAUGCUUGUGUAACUCCUGUGCUGUCAUUGGAUGAAGCUCCCAAACAUCCUCAUAACGCUGAAAGGAACUCAUUUGUAACAUACGUUGAUCAUAAUAUUCCUGCACCUGCAGCUGCCCCUCGCCUCAGUAGAACACCUCCAGUCACUAAAGCCAUGGAACCUAAAUCCCAGCAUGGUGAACACACGGUUGAAAUACUCAUUGAUAACAAUUAUACUAUGCAAGAAGUUCAACAAUUAGAACAUGAAGGUGUCAUUGCUACAAAGAAAUCAAAGCUUUGAAAAGCGAAGACACAAUACAGACGAAAUGAAACAUGAUCAUAAUAGUUGGCUGACAAAUCUUUCUAGCCUGUGUAUGCCUCACUGAUAAACAGAGUGUCUUAUUGUGUAUGGGCUUAAAAAUUGUACUUCCUUUGCAAGCUCAAGGCUACUGUGGAUGAAUGAACUGAACUGUUCUUCCAGACACUACUGCAAAAUCGUUAUCUUUUACAGACUAUGAAAUCAUCAUUAAAAUGAUUAUAUCACUGGAAACAUUGUUGCAAAUCAAGUGGCAGAUACCUUAAGGACAAGCCACAUUUAUGGAACAGAAGUAACAGGUUUAAUAUGUAAAUGGUCAUGAAAAUAUUUAGGCAAACAGAAGAACCACUGAUACUAGUAAAUCAACUUAUGAGCAAACACCCAAGGAAUUCAAAGAAGAAGCAUACAUAUUUUCUCUCUACCUUCCUACAAGUACAGCUGGAAUGAAUUUGUGACAGCAGUCAGUUUAUAAUUAAACAUUUCAUUUCACUUUUGAUUUUCACCGACUUGUGAACAUGCUAGAUUUGUCAGUAUUAUUACAGAGAUGUUUCAAGGUUAUAAAUUUUUCAGUGUGUACAUCAUGGAAUUUGUGACAUGUCAUUAUUAUGUACUAGCAAAUAUGCUCAGCAUUGCCCAAGCAUAAUGCACACACAUAAAAAAACAAAAUUUAUAAUAAAUCUGGUGACUACCGAAGAUACUCUGGGUUUUCCCCUGUAUCCCAGCAGCAGCAGAAGAUGUUCCAAGUUUUCCUCCAUAUUCUAGCAACAGCAAAAGAUUGUCUGGGGUUUCCUCCUUAUGUAGUAACAGCAGAAGGUAGCAGAUUAUGAUCUGAGUUUUAACAGAUUUCGUAGCAACAGCAGAUGACAAUUUGGGC